UAUGGAAGCUUGCUUCCACUGAGAAGAUAGUGGCGAACGGGUGAGUAACACGUGGGGUAACCUGCCCAUAAGAGGGGGGAUAACAUCCGGAAACGGGUGCUAAUACCGCAUAGUUUUCUUGGUCGCAUGAUCGGGAAAGGAAAGACGGCCUUUGUGCUGUCGCUUAUGGAUGGACCCGCGGCGUAUUAGUUAGUUGGUGAGGUAACGGCUCACCAAGACGAUGAUACGUAGCCGACCUGAGAGGGUGAUCGGCCACAUUGGGACUGAGACACGGCCCAAACUCCUACGGGAGGCAGCAGUAGGGAAUCUUCCGCAAUGGACGAAAGUCUGACGGAGCAACGCCGCGUGAGUGAAAGAAGGUUUUUCGGAUCGUAAAACUCUGUUGUCAGAGAAGAACAAGUUGGAGAGUAACUGCUCCAGCCUUGACGGUAUCUGACCAGAAAGCCACGGCUAACUACGUGCCAGCCGCGGC
rnacentral:rRNA from 1 species